GACGAACGCUGGCGGCGUGCUUAACACAUGCAAGUCGAACGAUGAAGCCUAGCUUGCUAGGUGGAUUAGUGGCGAACGGGUGAGUAAUACGUGAGUGACCUACCUUUGACUCUGGGAUAAGCCUGGGAAAUUGGGUCUAAUACCGGAUACGACCAAUCUCCGCAUGGGGUGUUGGUGGAAAGCGUUAUGGAGUGGUUUUAGAUGGGCUCACGGCCUAUCAGCUUGUUGGUGAGGUAAUGGCUUACCAAGGCGACGACGGGUAGCCGGCCUGAGAGGGUGACCGGCCACACUGGGACUGAGACACGGCCCAGACUCCUACGGGAGGCAGCAGUGGGGAAUAUUGCACAAUGGGCGCAAGCCUGAUGCAGCGACGCCGCGUGAGGGAUGACGGCCUUCGGGUUGUAAACCUCUGUUAGCAUCGAAGAAGCGAAAGUGACGGUAGGUGCAGAGAAAGCGCCGGCUAACUACGUGCCAGCAGCCGCGGUAAUACGUAGGGCGCGAGCGUUGUCCGGAAUUAUUGGGCGUAAAGAGCUUGUAGGCGGUUGGUCGCGUCUGCUGUGAAGGCUGGGGCUUAACCCUGGUUUUGCAGUGGGUACGGGCUAACUAGAGUGCAGUAGGGGAGACUGGAAUUCCUGGUGUAGCGGUGGAAUGCGCAGAUAUCAGGAGGAACACCGAUGGCGAAGGCAGGUCUCUGGGCUGUAACUGACGCUGAGAAGCGAAAGCAUGGGGAGCGAACAGGAUUAGAUACCCUGGUAGUCCAUGCCGUAAACGUUGGGCACUAGGUGUGGGGGACAUUCCACGUUUUCCGCGCCGUAGCUAACGCAUUAAGUGCCCCGCCUGGGGAGUACGGCCGCAAGGCUAAAACUCAAAGAAAUUGACGGGGGCCCGCACAAGCGGCGGAGCAUGCGGAUUAAUUCGAUGCAACGCGAAGAACCUUACCAAGGCUUGACAUAUACUGGACUGCGUCAGAGAUGGCGUUUCCCUUCGGGGCUGGUAUACAGGUGGUGCAUGGUUGUCGUCAGCUCGUGUCGUGAGAUGUUGGGUUAAGUCCCGCAACGAGCGCAACCCUCGUUCUAUGUUGCCAGCACGUGAUGGUGGGGACUCAUAGGAGACUGCCGGGGUUAACUCGGAGGAAGGUGGGGAUGACGUCAAAUCAUCAUGCCCCUUAUGUCUUGGGCUUCACGCAUGCUACAAUGGCCGGUACAGAGGGUUGCGAUACUGUGAGGUGGAGCUAAUCCCUAAAAGCCGGUCUCAGUUCGGAUUGGGGUCUGCAACUCGACCCCAUGAAGUCGGAGUCGCUAGUAAUCGCAGAUCAGCAACGCUGCGGUGAAUACGUUCCCGGGCCU
rnacentral:rRNA from 1 species